rnacentral:rRNA from 1 species
CCUACGGGAGGCUGCAGUGGGGAAUAUUGCACAAUGGGGGAAACCCUGAUGCAGCGACGCCGCGUGAGUGAAGAAGUAAUUCGUUACGUAAAGCUCUAUCAGCAGGGAAGAAAAUGACGGUACCUGACUAAGAAGCCCCGGCUAACUACGUGCCAGCAGCCGCGGUAAUACGUAGGGGGCAAGCGUUAUCCGGAUUUACUGGGUGUAAAGGGAGCGUAGACGGUGGCACAAGUCUGGAGUGAAAUGCCGCAGCUUAACUGCGGAACUGCUUUGGAAACUGGCAAACUGGAGUGCGGGAGGGGUAAGCGGAAUGCCUAGUGUAGCGGUGAAAUGCGUAGAUAUUAGGAGGAACACCGGUGGCGAAGGCGGCUUACUGGACCGUAACUGACGUUGAGGCUCGAAAGCGUGGGGAGCAAACAGGAUUAGAUACCCGGGUAGUC